UCACCCACGACAGCCCGUGUGGGUACGGUGGGCCUCUCAGGGAGACAUGGAGAUGCCCUGGGGUAGACAGUGAGAAGGCUUCGGUGAGAAGCACUGGUGACUGACUGGUUCCAAGAGGGCAGGUUUCAGGGGACUCUGUGACCUCGUUAGCUGCUGGAAGAAGAAGCUGACAGAGCAGAUACACAAGCCAGAUGGGCGCAGAGUUCUUUGCCCAGGACUGACGAAGGCAUCCAGGGUGGGCCAGGCAUUGCUCGUCACAUCCCUCAUGUCACUGCCCGGUAGCGAUGGCGGGGUGGUUCUAGCUGCUGUGCACCGCCCACAGGCACCCUCCUGACAGGCCUUCAGCCUUUGGAAGCAGUGGCUGUGGUUUUCCUUCUUGGGAAUAAGAAGAAAUGCAACAGUGGCUACUCUGCAGCCACUGGAUGAGAGCCAAUUGCUUGACCCCUGAGGAAAGAGGGAGCUGCUUAAGUUCCAAUAAAUGCUCCCUGUACUCACUGCAAGGAGGCAGCGCACAGGGACCCUUCCUUCAGUGACUAAAGCAGACGGAUCACCGACCUUCUCAGACAGUCAGAGCUGCUUCUGUUUAGCCUGAGAUCCCCUUCAGACCUGAGAGCCAGUGCAGGCCAGAGCCUCGGUCCAGGUCCCCUGAGGACGCCGGCCUCAGCACCAGCCCGCACCACCAAGCCCUUGGCACGCAGGAGGACUGGGAGUUCGGUCUCCUCUCAUCUUUGCACGGGGCCCUGGCCUGCUGUGACCUCCUCCUCUCUGUUAACCUGGGGUGGGGCUAGGAGAUCCCCCGGGUUCCAGCCACAGCGGCCUCCUUCCACACCCCAGGAGGCUCCCUGGGUUGCAGCAGCCAUGGGGGAGGGGGGGACAUCCCCCAAGGGAUCAGUGGUGCUGGUGUUGUCAAGGGAGCAGCUGGGAAUAUUUGUAAAUAUUCACCUGGCAGGAGGACCCAGCCCUCAGCAAAAACGAACCUCCUUCUUCUCCUCCCCUCCCGGCAGGGCCUAUGCCUUUUCCAUGGGCACAGAGCCACUCAGAAUACCAAGUGGUACCGCAGGCUGGAAGCACUGGGACUUCCUCUUCCUCGCCAUAGCCUCCGCUGGAUCAGGGUUCAUGGAGAGUGAGUGGGUGGUGAAACCCACAGCUCUGGUGAUCCAGGAUGGGAGAAACAGGAAGAAGAGGACUUGGGGGGGAGCAGGUUGGCCCUGUGGUGGUGUUGUGGCAGAGGCAAAGCCGUGAAGCACAGUCCUGGCAUCGGGCCUGGGGCUAUCAGCUUAGUUCCAAGAAUGCUGGCUGGCGCAGUGUCUUAACCCAGCGCUCCAGGCUUCGCAGUCCAGCGGAUGGCUCUGUGAGGAAGGACUGCUUCUCACACACCUCUCCAACCUGACCGCCCCUCUCCACCCCUCAUUCCCAGGCCUGGCCCAGAUUCCCAUGCCAGCCUCCUCACAGGUCUCCCUGCCCUAACCAGUGAUGAAACUGAGCCAAUUACUCUCCUGCUACGCAGAUGUGACCAGGUCAUACUACUGCACCAAAAUAUUCUCUGGCUCUCGACUGCCUCAUGACCAAAGCCCAAGCUCAUCAAGCUGGCACUGAGGCCCUCUGCACCCCUCAGAGUCUUCCUUCCCUGAGAGCCACCCAGCUGCCCUCUGUAUCCACCUUCUUACAGUGGGGACCGAGGGCUCUGCAAACCUCCACGGCCCUCAGAAACGGCACCGAAGCACAAGCCAAGACACCAGAUCACCGAAGAACCUCCUCAACUCCCAGUGAGGAGCUGAAAAAGAAAAUUUCAUCCUCUUCUAGGGCCCAGGGACCUCAGCAAACAAGCUUGAGAAAGAGCCUACAGGGAGAUUCUGGUACUGGACUGAACUGGGCCCAAAUCCUGGCUCAGACUCUUGACAGCUGUGUGGUUUUGGGCAAGACACUGUGUCCCUCUGGGCCUCAGCUCACUCACGCUCCUGGACAGAGACCGCAAGCCUAGGUGUAUAAUGAGGAAAACACUUACUAGAUAAUGAUUAGCUGAAGAAACUAUUCCAUCUAUUUACCAGACAAAAGGGCUCAAAGACAACUUGCAAAAGCAGAUGCAUUCACGCCCUACCUUUCCAGCGGGCUCCUGGCACUGAGAAGGUUGCCAGGGCCUUGCCAAGUACCCCUCGCGUGCCCCCAUCCGGACCUCAUCUUCAGCCCUAGAAGGGAGCUCGCCUCCUCAUGCGCCCAUCUGAAACACUAGCUGCCCUGGUCAGAGAGGAUCUGGAGCGAGCAGCAGAGCGGGCAGGAGGGUCUUGGCCUCAGGAAGAGCGAUCCAUUUCCAUCGCUGGCCCAAACUGAGGUCAUACCAUAAGCCCUCCAGGUUCAAACCACAAAAGACACCGACUGCCUGUGCUCUUCAGAGGUCAACUGCAGGUCUUCAGGUACAGACCACAGCAAAGCGAGGCCCCAGCUGGCCUGGGAAGGCCGUUGGUCGUUGUUCAGCUGACCUACUGAGAGCGCCCAUUGGUUGCAUUCUCACUUGACCUGACACCUUACGACACCUUAAGCAAGGGAGCGGGAAGCCUCUGUAGCUGCUGAGGAGAGCACUGCGCAAGGAUAAAGAAACAGGAUCACACCUUCGGAGGCUUUGUCCUUGUCAAAAACAGUAAUGGCUGGGUGGGCCGGGGAUUUAGCUCAGUGGUUCCACUGCCUGCCUCACAAGAGCAAGGUCCUGAGUUUGAUCCCCAGGGUGACAAAAAAAUAAAAAAAAGUAAUGGCUGAGACCAAGGUAGCAAAUGUUUUAUGUAUAACAAAACUUCAGGAAUUCUCACAGUGUUGGGGGUGAACAUGGAAAAAGAAAUGGGAAGAGAAACGUCUGGG